rnacentral:tRNA from 1 species
CGGGGUGUAGCUCAGUUGGCUAGAGCGCUCGCAUGGGGUGCGAGAGGUUUUCGGUGGUUCGAGUCCACUCACCCCGA